rnacentral:lncRNA from 1 species
UCAAGAUUAUAGAAGAACUCUCUCUAUAGUUUCUCUCUCCAGAGUUUCAGUGAAUUCGUAAGAAGUAAUGAAAGAAUGAGCUUUUAAUUAUAGGAGAAUGGACUGCAUAGUAACUAAUUCAUGAACGGUCCAGAUUGAUUUACUUUUAAUCGGACGGUCCAUAUUUAAAGCAAAAUCUUUUAAAUAAAAUAUAAUAUAUUCU